AUUGAACGCCGGCGGCAGGCCUAACACAUGCAAGUCGAGCGGAGCGGCGGCCGGGUGAGUAAUGCCUAGGCAUCUGCCUGGUAGUGGGGGCUCACGUCCUGCCACGGGCGCUAAUACCGCCUACUAUCAGCUUAGCCUAGGUCUGAUUAGCUAGUUGGUGGGUUAAAGGCCGACCAGGGCGACGAUCCGUAACUGGUCUGAGAGGAUGAUCAGUCACAAUGGAACUGAGACACGGGCCAGACUCAUACGGGAGGCAGCAGUGGGGAUUAGUGGACAAUGGGCGAAAGCCGGAUCCAGACAUGCCGCGUGUGUGAAGAAGGUCUUUGGAUUGUAAAGAACUUUAAGUUGGGAGGCGUUACCAACAGAAUAAGCACCGGCUAACUUCGUGCCAGCAGCCGCGGUAAUUC
rnacentral:rRNA from 1 species